rnacentral:snRNA from 1 species
GUGCUCGCUUAGGCAGCACAUAUACUAAAAUUGGAACGAUACAGAGAAUAUUAGCAUGGCCCCUGUGCAAGGAUGACAUGCAAAUUCCUGAAGUGUUCCAUAUUUUU